rfam:Schistosoma mansoni strain Puerto Rico chromosome W, complete genome
AUCCAGCUGACGAGUCCCGAAUAGGACGAUACGCGCGUCCUGGAU